UAUAUAUAGCUUAAGAGCCGCUGAUAAGUCAAGUGUUUUACUCAAUGAAGUCGACAGACAGCGACGAUGAAGAAAGCCGACUAUCAUUGUUGUUUUCACUGAUAAGCACACAAUGUUAUCACAGCAACAGCAACAACUACAACAACGACACACAAACAAGGGCCAAGAACAACUGUUGCCUCUCUCCUACUGUCUGGGUACGUGCAAACAAAAUUUGGUUGCAUUGGAGCUUAUGAUUAAGGGAGAUAAAGCAAUGUGGAGGUCACCUGGCAAAUGGAUAAAGAGGGGGACGCGAUAGCUUUCGAGAUGCGCAUACCAAUGAGAGUCGUCCAACCCAUAAAUAUCUAUUUUCACUCACUCAUUUUUCCAUCUACAAGUUUUCGUAUUUAAACAUGCAAUAGCUGAUCCGUAAUUUUUAUCACGUAAAUAAAUUUCAUUUCAACUGUUA